AUUCGAUGAUAUAUUUGUUGCAGGGAGCUGUCAGAUUACUGUCAUCUCCCUUUUCUAAGUCCUGCUUGUUGAUUUGCUGAACCUCAACAACAAUGGUAGCGACCUGGUUGUUGUGGAGGAAGACAAAAAGAGGUGCCUCAUGCCAUCAUGUUCAUGAGAUGGGCUUUGGGAAGUUGGACAAUGAUGAAAAUCGGUUAGCACCAGCGACAGAAGGCUGCUGAGGACGCUAGAGUCAGUGGUGAGUGGUGACUUGGAGGGUCAGAGAGAGAAAUGGGAUCAGCGCAGAACCGUCUGGUGCCACAAUACCCGUCAGUUCAAUUUUCUUUAUUGCAUUCUUCUGAAAUUUUCUGAGACAAAUCAAUUACAAGAUAACAAGAAUCCGUUGUCAGUUGCUAUAAAGCCAAGAGCAGCAAAGCCAAGUCCAGGAUAAGCCUGUACUCUGAAGGUCUUGCUUCCCAAGCCAGGGAAGCAAUUGAUUCAUGCAUUAAUUUGACUAUGCGAUGAACACAAAUAAAGCAGUCGAAUGGUAGCCAAGGUAGAUGAGAACAAUGAGACACACAUCGCCGUGUGCUGAUGGGUCAGUCAGAGGCCAUCCUAGCCA